CUCGAAAUCAUUCAGCCAUGGAAUAAUAAAAAUAGGACGCGCGGCUCCAUUCGGUUGGUAAAGGACCGCCGUAAUGAUUCAUAAGGACAGUCGGGGGGCAUCAGUUAUUCCACUGUCAGAGGGUGAAAUCUUUGGAUCAGUUGGAAGCUAACUACUGGGAAAGCUUUUUCCAAGGAUGUUUUUCAUAAUCAAGGAACGAAAGUUAGGGGGAUCGAAGACGAUCAGAUUCCGUCGUAGUCUUACCAUAAACUAUGCCCGACUAGGGAUCGGACGGUGUUAUUCAUGGCCCGUUCCGGCACCUCUCGAGAAAUCAAAGUGCUUGGGGCUCCAGGGGGAGUAUGGUCCGCAAGGCUGAAACUUAAAGAAAUUGGCGGAAGGGCACCCCAGGGGGUGGGAGCCUGCGGCUUAAUUUGACUCAACACGGGGAAACUCACCAGGUCCAGACACAAUAAGGAUUGACAGAUUGAGAGCUCUUUCUUGAUUUUGUGGGUGGUGGUGCAUGGCCGUUCUUAGUUGGUGGGGUGACUUGUCUGCUUAAUUGCGAUAACGAACGAGACCUUAACCUGCUAAAUAGCCCGCAUUGCUCCGGCAGUGCGCUGGCUUCUUAGAGGGACUUUCGGCUCAAGCCGAAGGAAGUUUGAGGCAAUAACAGGUCUGUGAUGCCCUUAGAUGUUCUGGGCCCGCACGCGCGCUACACUGACGGGGUCAGCGAGUUCCUUGGCCGAAAGGCCCGGGUAAUCUUGUUAGCCCCCGUCGUGCUGGGGAUAGAGCAUUGCAAUUAUUGCUCUUCAACGAGGAAUCCCUAGUAAGCGCAAGUCAUCAGCUUGCGUUGAUUACGUCCCUGCCCUUUGUCCUCGCCGCCCGUC
rnacentral:rRNA from 1 species